rnacentral:rRNA from 1 species
UACAGAGGUCCCAAGCGUUGUUCGGAUUCACUGGGCGUAAAGGGUGCGUAGGUGGUGAGGUAAGUCGGAUGUGAAAGCUCGGAGCUCAACUCCGAAAUGGCAUUGGAAACUACCUUGCUCGAGGGUUGGAGGGGGGACUGGAAUACUUGGUGUAGCAGUGAAAUGCGUAGAUAUCAAGUGGAACACCAGUGGCGAAGGCGAGUCCCUGGACAACUCCUGACGCUGAGGCACGAAGGCCAGGGGAGCAAACGGG